rnacentral:lncRNA from 1 species
UCCCAAUGGAUCAUUAGUCUUAUGUAGUAGAGGCUUUGUCAGAUUAGCGUGCCAGUAUGUAUAGGAUCUUAGAUUUUGGUUGUACAGGAUAGUAUCAUUUUGUAUCUAAUCAUGGUCAUGACAUGCUUAUUUCUCUUUAUCUUAGAAUGAUUUGUGUUACAGUGAGUUCUGAAAGUGAUGACAGGCUUAGAGGGUUAACUUGAGGCCACGUGUGACCUUAAGCACCGUGUGACAUCUCGG